AUACGGAGGGUGCAAGCGUUGUUCGGAAUUAUUGGGCGUAAAGGGCGCGUAGGCGGUAAUGAAAGUCAGAUGUGAAAUACUUCAGCUCAACUGAAGAACUGCACCUGAAACUUCAUAACUAGAGUACGGAAGAGGGAAAUGGAAUUCCCGGUGUAGAGGUGAAAUUCGUAGAUAUCGGGAGGAACACCAGUGGCGAAGGCGAUUUCCUGGUCUGGUACUGACGCUGAGGCGCGAAAGUGUGGGGAGCAAACAGGAUUAGAUACCCUGGUAGUCCACACUGUAAACGGUGAACACUAGGUGUGGGAGGUGUAAUACCUUCUGUGCCGCAGUUAACGCGUUAAGUGUUCCGCCUGGGAAGUACGGCCGCAAGGUUGAA
rnacentral:rRNA from 1 species